UACGGGGGGAGCAAGCGUUGUUCGGAUUUACUGGGCGUAAAGCGCGCGUAGGCGGAUCGCUAAGUCAGGGGUGAAAUCCCAGGGCUCAACCCUGGAACUGCCUUUGAUACUGACGAUCUGGAGAUCGGGAGAGGUUGGUGGAAUUCCGAGUGUAGAGGUGAAAUUCGUAGAUAUUCGGAGGAACACCAGAAGCGAAGGCGGCCAACUGGCCCGAUACUGACGCUGAGGCGCGAAAGCGUGGGGAGCAAACAGG
rnacentral:rRNA from 1 species